rnacentral:rRNA from 1 species
UACGAAGGGGGCUAGCGUUGCUCGGAAUCACUGGGCGUAAAGGGUGCGUAGGCGGGUCUUUAAGUCAGGGGUGAAAUCCUGGAGCUCAACUCCAGAACUGCCUUUGAUACUGAGGAGCUUGAGUACGGGAGAGGUGAGUGGAACUGCGAGUGUAGAGGUGAAAUUCGUAGAUAUUCGCAAGAACACCAGUGGCGAAGGCGGCUCACUGGCCCGUUACUGACGCUGAGGCACGAAAGCGUGGGGAGCGAACAGG